UACAGAGGUCUCAAGCGUUGUUCGGAUUCAUUGGGCGUAAAGGGUGCGUAGGCGGCGCGGUAAGUCGGGUGUGAAAGCCCUCGGCUUAACCGAGGAAGUGCAUUCGAAACUACGGGACUUGAAUACUGAAGAGGAUCGCGGAAUUCCCGGUGUAGAGGUGAAAUUCGUAGAUAUCGGGAGGAACACCAGUGGCGAAGGCGGCGAUCUGGGCAGAUAUUGACGCUGAUGUGCGAAAGCGUGGGGAGCAAACAGG
rnacentral:rRNA from 1 species